rnacentral:lncRNA from 1 species
AAGUCCUGGUGAAUUAUCACAUACUCCUAAUGUGCUGAGAAAUACCACUUUCAGGACACUGAGAUAUAAAACCACUUAAAGGCGUUGAAGAAGGAAGGAUUCAUGAAUUCUAUAACUGUAAGAGAAUGAGUUCUGCCAAAAAUCUAAGGGAGCUUGAAAGCAUAUCUUUCCUUAGUUCAGCCUCUGCAUGAGAACCCAGCUUUGCCUGACACCUUGAUUGCAGCCUUGAUAAGACCGUAAGAAAGACCGUAAGAAAACCCAAGCAGAUGUGCCUAUAGACUCCUCACCCACAACUGCGAUAUCACAGAUGUGUCCAGACUUCUUACCCACAACUGCGAUAUCACAGAUGUGUCGAGACUCCCUACCCACAACUGCAAUAUCA